GAUGAACGCUAGCGGCAGGCUUAACACAUGCAAGUCGAGGGGCAUCGCGGAGUAGCAAUACUUUGGCGGCGACCGGCGCAAGGGUGCGUAACGCGUGAGCAACAUGCCCGCAACAGGGGGAUAACCCGAUGAAAGUCGGACUAAUAUUCCAUAGCAAGUAGGAGUGGCAUCACUUUUACUUUAAAGAUUCGUUGGUUGCGGAUUGGCUCGCGUGACAUUAGUUAGUUGGUGGGGUAACGGCCUACCAAGGCGGUGAUGUCUAGGGGUUCUGAGAGGAAGGUCCCCCACACUGGAACUGAGACACGGUCCAGACUCCUACGGGAGGCAGCAGUGAGGAAUAUUGGACAAUGGGCGGAAGCCUGAUCCAGCCAUGCCGCGUGCAGGAAGAAGGUUCUAUGGAUUGUAAACUGCUUUUGUAUGGGAGCAAUAAUACCUACGUGUAGGUAGAUGAGAGUACCAUACGAAUAAGCAUCGGCUAACUCCGUGCCAGCAGCCGCGGUAAUACGGAGGAUGCGAGCGUUAUCCGGAUUUAUUGGGUUUAAAGGGUGCGUAGGCGGUUGGAUAAGUCAGCGGUGAAAGAUUGCAGCUUAACUGUAGGGUUGCCGUUGAUACUGUUCAGCUAGAAAGUAGUUGAAGUGAUCGGAAUGUGGGGAUCAAACAGGAUUAGAUACCCUGGUAGUCCACACUGUAAACGAUGAUAACUAGUUGUCGGCGAUAGACAGUCGGUGACCAAGCGAAAGCGAUAAGUUAUCCACCUGGGGAGUACGGCCGCAAGGUUGAAACUCAAAGGAAUUGACGGGGGCCCGCACAAGCGGAGGAACAUGUGGUUUAAUUCGAUGAUACGCGAGGAACCUUACCCGGGCUCGAACGGUUGAUGAAUAAUACAGAGAUGUAUUAGUUCGCAAGAACAUCAGUCGAGGUGCUGCAUGGUUGUCGUCAGCUCGUGCCGUGAGGUGUCGGCUUAAGUGCCAUAACGAGCGCAACCCUUGUUGCUAGUUGCUACGAGAGAGCACUCUAGCGAGACUGCCGUUGACAAAACGGAGGAAGGAGGGGACGAUGUCAAAUCAUCAUGCCCUUUAUGUCCUGGGCUACACACGUAAUACAAUGGCGUUUAACAAUGGGAAGCGAAGCCGUGAGGUGGAGCGAAUCCCCAAAAGGCGUCUCAGUUCGGAUCGCAGGCUGCAACUCGCCUGCGUGAAGUCGGAAUUGCUAGUAAUCGCGGAUCAGCUAGCCGCGGUGAAUACGUUCCCGGGGCUUGUACACACCGCCCGUCACACCAUGAGAGCCGGGGACACCCGAAGCCCGUAGCCUAACCAUUUGGAGGGCGCGGUCGAAGGUGGAUUUGGUAAU
rnacentral:rRNA from 1 species